GAUUAAUUCAAACCUUUCCCCAAGGACUAAAGCUAUCAGAGCUAAAACUUAACGAUUAUGGCGGCUACUUUCAAUCAGGGGAACUUACCAGUUAAUCGAUGAUCCACGAGUGAUAGUUACUUUAUUUUAAAGCUUGUAUACCGCCGUUUAGUAACAGAUUGAGUCCGUUACGAAUCCUUAUAGAUUACAUCAGGUUAUGGUGCAGCCAAUAGUAAAGAAUUAGGCGAGUUACAAUAAUUUUUUGUUCCGGAAACGUAAAUGAAAUUUUUGGUUUAAGAUGGACUUGAUAGUAAAUUUUAAUAAAAAUAUUAAUUGAACAAAAUAAAAGUAGUGU
rnacentral:rRNA from 1 species